rnacentral:rRNA from 1 species
UAACACAUGCAAGUCGAACGGGAUUAUUAUCUUCGGAUGAUAUGAGAGUGGCGAACGGGCGAGUAACACGUAAGAAUCUACCUUUAGGACGGGGAUAACUUCUGGAAACGGAUGCUAAUACCCGAUAUGCUGUGGAGUGAAAGGAAUUUCGCCUAAAGAUGAUCUUGCGUCUGAUUAGCUAGAUAGUGUGGUAAUGGCGCACUAUGGCGACGAUCAGUAGCUGGUCUGAGAGGAUGGACAGCCACAUUGGAACUGAGACACGGUCCAAACUCCUACGGGAGGCAGCAGUGGGGAAUUUUCCGCAAUGGGCGAAAGCCUGACGGAGCGACGCUGCGUGAAGGAUGACGGCCUGCGGGUUGUAAACUUCUUUUCUCGAAGAGGAAUAAAUGACGGUAUUCGAGGAAUAAGCAUCGGCUAACUCUGUGCCAGCAGCCGCGGUAAGACAGAGGAUGCAAGUGUUAUUCGGAUUGAUUGGGCGUAAAGCGUCUGUAGGCGGUUUGGAAAGUCUUUUGUGAAAUUCUUCAGCUCAACUGGGGGUCCGCAAAAGAAACUUCUAGGCUUGAGGGAAGUAGAGGUACAGGGAAUUUCCGGUGGAGCGGUGAAAUGCGUAGAUAUCGGAAGGAACACCAAUAUGGCGAAAGCACUGUACUGGGCUUUAUCUGACGCUAAGAGUGGAAUGCUAAAGGAUUGGAAAGGACUAGAUUCCCUAGUAGGYUCAGCCGUAAGCUUUGCAAGACCCUAAGCGACGCGGGCUACAGAAGGGAGUAGGAUUUGAUACGCUAGUAUUUUUAGCCGUGGACGAUGGAAACUCACUGCCGAGCCGGUAKUCGGAGCGGUGGUCAAGCUAACGCGUGAAGUUUCCCGCCUGGGGACUACGCAUGCAAAUGUGAAACUCAAAGGAAUUGACGGGGACCCGCACAAGCGGUGGAGUAUGUGGUUUAAUUCGAUGCAACGCGAAAAACCUUACCAAGGUUUGAAAUCAUUUCAAAACUCUUUGAAAGAAGAGCCUCCUUCGGGAUGGAAUGACAGGUGGUGCAUGGCUGUCGUCAGCUCGUGUUGUGAAAUGUCAAGUUAAGUCUUGUAACGAGCGCAACCCAUGUCUUUUGUUGCUGUUUACAGUGCUUAAAAGAGACUGCCGCUCUACAGCGGAGGAAGGUGUGGAUGAUGUCAAGUCAGCAUGCCCCUUAUAUCUUGGGCUACACACGUACUACAAUGGUAGGGACAAUGAGCCGCAAACCUGCGAAGGCUAGCCAAUCUCAAAAACCCUAUCUCAGUUCGGAUUGUACUCUGCAACUCGAGUGCAUGAAGGUGGAAUCGCUAGUAAUCGCUGGUCAGCAUACAGCGGUGAAU